AGGGACACAAUCUGUCAGUCUUUAUUAUAUGUCAUUAAGAGAGUUGUUUCCCUUGGACCAGUGUUAUUCUAUGGGUCAGUGGUUAUGAUUUCCCGCCAGUUUGAUCAUGUGACUAUUGUGUUCAGUUGAGCUCACGUUUUCUAGGAAGAGACAUGUACAUUGUCCUCAUGGUUUUUAAAUUUUUGUGAUUUAUGGAAUAUCAGUAUUAUUUAUAAGGAUAGUAACAGCACACUGGAGAGAGAGAGAAGAGUGUAUAUUGUAAAUGUGUUGAUGUAAACACUUAGUUCCAUAAACUAAGUGUGGUUACUUGGUUACUUGGUUACUUAGAUGAUUGAUUGUAUUGAACUAGCUAUAGUCUUGUCUAAGAUACAUGCUGUGUCAACAGAAAAUAAAAGAGAUAAAGAACCUACAAAUCCUUGACUUUUAUUCACCCUUUCAAAAUGAUAAAUUUCAAAGGAGUUAC